rnacentral:lncRNA from 1 species
ACCAUCUCGCCAACAAUGACACCAGUCUUCAGGCCCUCCAGGCACAGUGGGACGCUUUCUCCUUGCAGCAUCGUGACCAAUUCGCCCCACCCCCCGCCCCCACCUCCGGGACCACAGUGAGCUAUCCCUCUUCAUUUCUCUUUUUUUUUUUUUUUUGUUUUUGUUCUGUUUUUCCUUUUUAUUUAUGUCUGCCUUGUUUUCUUUUCGUUUUCUUGUGUUUGCUGUUAUUGCCCUGAGGACAGUGCUCGUUUUUGUGUGGGGAGGGGUGUGUGCUUGUUUUGAAAUGUAUGCUGUUGGGUUCUGGAUUGUUGGUUUUGGGCAAAUGGCCUCCUUGCGCUGAUUAAUUACUUGUCUUUGAGUUCACCCUUGGUCUUGACAUUGGUUUGCCAGUGAUUCUGGAACUGCAUUGGUUUUGGUUGUUGUCCUUGUUUGUCGCGAUUGACAUUUACCUAAGUAGUGUUAUGGGUUUAAUAUCUUAGAUGCAACAACUUGAUGAGCAACUCUUGACGUGAUUUGUCCGGUAGAUGCUAGGGGGAGUGUUUUCAUUGUAAUUGCCUAAUUUCUUAUCUCUUGUUGAAACGUGGUUUGUUUAUUGAGUUCUUGAUGGCUCUGGGUCUCUGCUCCUCUGAUGGUGACAUUAUGAGCAUGGGAAACCACGCGGGAACAUUUUGGUUUACCUCCAAAAAUUGCAAAUCUCGUGAAAUACGACCUAUUUG